UAUUUGAGGCAAGGGGAGCACCCCCAACAGAGCAGCAAGGCGCAUCCGCCCCCCUGCCCUCCAGGGGGGAAGGAGGAUGAGGAUUCUCGCCCGCCCCUAGUACGGCGCGGGAGGGGAGCACACCCCCAGGCACAAGCGCCCCCACAGACAAGCAGGACACACUCCCCCACCCCCCAUCACAUGGGGGCGGAGGGACAGGACGAAGCUCCCUCCUAGCUCCGCCCACCGAAGAACAGGGCACAGCCUCGGCGGGAGGCUCCGGUCCGACCGCUACCCGUCCCGGAGGGGUGGGGGCGAGUGGGGCUUGGCCUCGCCUCCAGCCACGAGGCCCUCGCGAAGGGGGGGGGGGAGCCACCAUCUUACUCCUCCACCCCCCCUUCGCCCGGGCGCGAGAUGGUGGCGCCCGCCGACUCCGUUUCACCCACUGACAGGAGUCAAACCCUUGGAGGCAUGUGCCACCCACAUCCCACCCGCCGGACUUCCCCUUACAUUCAGGGUCACUCAGUGCAAAGACUGAAGGUGCAAUACAUCUCCCCCCUGCCCACAGGAGUGAGAUUGGGAACUUGAGAGCCAGUUGUGGACCAGGACCAACCCACAGCAGCAGAGGUGCAACUGCAGGAAGAGCUCUGCUCAAGCCUAUGCUGGAGCAUGCUAGUGCAUACAGAAUCAUCAGUGAAUUUAGCUGCUAAAAUCUAAGAAAUUAAAGUCUCCCAUAAUCACUCAA